UUUGAAUAGUUUAAUUAGAAUUAUAAUUUGUGGUAUUAUAGGUGAAUAUAUUUUCUUCAGAUC
rnacentral:tRNA from 1 species